UGAAUAAAAUUACCCUGAUUAUCAGUCUAAUCUUUUCCAAUCUGUCAACAAGAAUUAUAUUAUUCAGUCACGUAAGGAUACCUGUCCUAAAACUCACCAGACGCCUGUAGCAAUGGCUGAGGCCGAUCAGGAAAACAAUCCUGCUAAGCCAGACAGCGCUGACGAGGACACAGAUGAAGAGAGCGAAGUGCUUGAAGAAAGUCCAUGUGGAAGAUGGCAGAAGAGGAGGGAGGAGGUUGAGCAAAGAGAUGUACCAGGCAUUGAUAGUGCCUUUCUUGCUAUGGAUACAGAAGAGGGUAUGGAAGUGGUUUGGAAUGAGGUGUAUUUUUCAGAGAACAGAAAUAGAAAAGCUCAGCAUAUAGAAGGGGAGGAAAAGAUUCGUCAAGUGUUUGACAACCUGAUACAACUGGACCAUCCAAACAUUGUGAAAUUCCACAAGUACUGGACUGAUACAAGUGGUGAUAAACCUAGGGUGAUAUUUAUAACUGAGUAUAUGUCAUCUGGUUCUCUCAAACAAUUCCUGAAGAAAACAAAGAAAAAUAACAAAACAUUCCAGUUAAAGGCUUGGAAAAGAUGGAGUACACAGAUACUUUCUGCUCUAAGUUAUCUACAUUCAUGUAAGCCGCCUGUGAUACAUGGCAAUCUGACCUGUGAUACUAUAUUUAUACAGCAUAAUGGACUCAUUAAAAUUGGAUCUGUUGCCCCAGAUGCAAUGCACCAUGUGAAAACAUACAGAGAUGAUCUGAAAAACAUGCACUGUGUUGCACCGGAAUAUGGAUCUGGAAGAGUUACCACUGCUGUAGAUAUCUACUCAUUUGGAAUGUGUGCUCUAGAGAUGGCUGCCCUUGGUAUCCAAGGAAAUGGAGAGAGUGGAAAUGUGAUCACAAUGGAAGCCAUAGAUAAAACACUCCAGUCAAUAGAAAAUCCUCUGCAGAGGGAUUUCCUAGAGAAAUGUUUAGAGAAAGAUCCAGAGAAACGACCUACUGCCAGAGAUCUGCUAUUCCAUUCUGUUCUGUUUGAAGUCCAUUCAUUAACAUUACUUGCUGCUCAUGCCAUUGUAAAUAAUGCACAACUAGUAGAAAAUAUAGCUGAAGAUACCCAUAUAUUGAAGUCAGAACCGAAAAAAGUGAUAGCUGAAAUUAAAUACAGUGGAGACCAGGAACCAACUUUAAUGAGAUUCCUCUCAAGUGCAAGGGUUAGAACUAGAAAAAUUCUUAGAAGAUGUCAGGAAUGGCAUUUAUCCACUCACAGCAUUUGACUUGCCACAGCCACCAAACACCCGACAAAGGCCCAUAACUCCAGAAACAACAGAACAGGAGAAGACAGAAACACCAGAACCCAUGGACGUAGAGUCACGGCGCGUUACAAACAUGACAUGUCAAAUCAAGCGUUUACAAGAAAACAUGUCGUACCAUCUGGUUCUUAUCCUUCGUAUGGAUGAUAAAAUGAAUCGUCAGCUAGAGUGUGAUUUUGGAACGGAAGAUAAUGCCUCCAUCCUAGCAGAAGAACUAGUUCAUUAUGGAUUUAUUAAUGAGCAAGACAAGGAUAACCUAUCUGUCUUCCUGACGGACCACCUGCGAGAUGCCGCACUGGUAAAUGGAGUUCCAGAAGACAUUACACCACAAGUGCCUAUCUCUGUCUCUUGAAAAUUUAUAGCCAAUGAAAUCAUUAGGCCAAUCAUAUCUUGUGUCACAGCUUGGUGUGUAGAGGAGGAACUUCUGAUCAGAGCAGUCAAAGAGCUUGUCUCAUUUUAUCUACAUUUUUCUUGUCAUAAAAGUAUUUCAGAAUUCAUAUUCUGGUCAUGAACAUGUUUGUAUAUGACGCAAAAAUUUCCGUACUCAACAAUGAAGAGGCUAUGUACAGUUUUAGGUGAAAGUCUGAGCUUACAUUUACUUCUUACUCAUGAUAAUGUAUCUGAGUUUAGAGACCAGUGUUUCAGAUUGGUUAUUUUCAAGAUCCAGGUCAAAAUCGACCAGAUAGUUUUGAGACUGGUACUCGAAGUCAGCUUUAUAACUUGGUACCUAGUAUAGAAUUCUAGAUACCUGAUAUGCGAAUAAUUUAGCAGGAUAACAACCUGUCCUAUAUAGACCGGACAUUUCAGGAACUUUGUAGAUAUCCAUGAGAAGAUUCAUGAAUGAUAUAGCGAAAUAUAACAGUAUAUCCAUUAAUAUAGUAAAGAUGGUUAUUUCUGAGUCUUAACAGAAAAGUUUUGUGUUGCUGUCUUUAAAGUGUCAUAGAUUUUUGCCAUAUAUUGUGAUUGAAAAGCUCAUUUUGUAGAAGCAUUUUUUUUGUUUUUGUUUAUAAAGUGUGUAAUUUUUGGCCAAAGAUUAAAAGAAACAACAUGUUUAUAACUGCAACUGAAAAUAACUCAUUUAUUUGCUUACCAUAAUAAACUACUUAUGAUCAGUACAGGUGGUAUUUCAGUAUAUAGUGCAAUUUGUAACUCUUGUAAGUGCUUGUUUUUAUGCCCCCGAAGGGAGGCAUAUAGUUUUUGAACCGUCUGUCGGUCUGUCCGCAAUUUUCGUGUCCUGUCCAUAUCUUUGUCAUCGAUGAAUGGAUUUUCAAAUAACUUGGCAUGAAU
rnacentral:misc_RNA from 1 species